AAUAUUGUACAAUGGGGGCAACCCUGAUCCAGCCAUCCCGCGUGUGCGAUGACGGCCNNNGGGUUNUAAAGCACUUUCGGCAGNGAANAAGAGGCUUUGGUUAAUACCUGGAUCUGCUGACGUUACCUGCAGCAUAAGCACCGGCUAACUACGUGCCAGCAGCCACGGUAAUACGUAGGGUGCAAGCGUUAAUCGGAAUUACUGGGCGUAAAGCGUGGGUAGGCGGUUCGGAAAGUAAGAGUGGAAAUCCAAGGGCUCAACCUUGGAACUGCAUUUUUAACUGCCGGGCUAGAUUAUGUCAGAGGGAGGUAGAAUUCCACGUGUAGCAGUGAAAUGCGUAGAUAUGUGGAGGAAUACCGAUGGCGAAGGCAGCCCCCUGGGAUAAUACUGACGCUCAGACACGAAAGCGUGGGGAGCAAAC
rnacentral:rRNA from 1 species